rnacentral:rRNA from 3 species
CCAAUGGCACUGCCCGGUAGCUAAAUGCGGAAGAGAUAAGUGCUGAAAGCAUCUAAGCACGAAACUUGCCCCGAGAUGAGUUCUCCCUGAGACUUAGAGUCUCCUGAAGGAACGUUGAAGACGACGACGUUGAUAGGCCGGGUGUGUAAGCGCAGCGAUGCGUUGAGCUAACCGGUACUAAUGAACCGUGAGGCUUAACCUUACAACGCCGAAG